CACCGAUGUCACAUGAUUGUAUCCAUGCGCGUUCAGAGGUCAUUGGUCACAUGGGUUUUUCCAGCACAAACCUAUUGAACGACUAACACGGUUCUCCGGUGUAAAGUGUCCACUGAAGCAACAUAUCAGCCAAAACCUCCAGUAUACUGAGUCUACCAUCCAAAGCAUCCAGUGAACCACUGAUCAGCUCUCCAGUGUCCUGAGUCUGGAACCACCAAUGAAGCAACAAUUCUCAAUCAGACUAAGUUUGCCAUCCUAGGACUUUAGUACACAACAUAGUUACAUGUGUCCACUGAAGCUACGCAUCAGCCGACCACUCUCUAGUAUCCUGAGUUUGGCACCCACGGGGUCCAGUGAACCACUGAUACACCCACAACUCUCCAGUAUCCUGAGUCUGGCACCCAGGGGGUCCAGUGAACCACUGAUAGAGCAGCAUCUCUUCAGUAUCCUGAGUCUGGCACCCAAGGGGUCCAGUGAACCACUGACAGAGCAAAGACACUUUAAUAUCCUAAGUCUGUCACCCACAGUCUCCACUGAAACAGAUGCGGAAACUUGGGUGCUGCUCGCUGGUUUGGUGAGGCUUCAGCCUGGAUGAUAGCCAUCACUCGCAUCUGCAUCCUGGAGCUGCACUGCUGCCACGGUCUUGUCAGCCUGUCCACCAGGGAGUCAGGACUGGAAGGAUGCAUGACAGUUAUUUAUUUUGUUUGUUUCUUAUGGUUUAUUUUAUUUUUUUUAUUUUAGUUCAUAACACCAACCAACAAUGUUGAAUCGCUGCAUGUUUU